AUGAAAAGUAAAAAGGUAUUAAUCGAAUAGCUGAUUAAACCCUCACACUCAGAACUCCACCAGACUCCCCAUCCUCGUCCCCUCACACCGCUUUCUCCACCGGCAAUGAUCAACCUCAUCUCCACCGGACGCGACAUCUCCACCGCUCUCUCCACCGGCAAUGAUCAAUGAUCGGAAAAUGUUGAAGCUUUCGAGCUCGAACAUCUCCACCGGAAAACGAUUUUGCAAAUGAAACAUCCUGAUCGGAAAACAGUGACGCAGAACUCCGACGGUUUCCACAAGGUCUGACUCGAUUCUAUUAAUUUCAAGAUAUUGAAUGUCAAUUUAUUUCAAAAGAAAUCAACAGGAGACAACAAGUUGUGACCCAAGCUGGACUGUUUGUGUACAAUCAUUUACAUGAAGAUCCAUCCAGAGAAUACUUGAUUUCAAUGGAUUAUGAGUGGCAUAUGAGCUCAUGAUUGUCAUCUGUCAAUGGAUUGGAUUGGCCAUGCAAUGGCACAUGCCUCAAAAGGGAAGCUUUUCUAUGCUUUUCUUUUUCUUUUUUUAACAACCUAUAGAUUGUUGAAGAUUGCUCAAGUUAUUAUAACUGCUUGGCUGUUUGCUUUUAGUUUUGUUAGAAUUCUUUUCAUGGUUAUGACAUUUGGUGUAUCACCUGCACUAUUUCAUGAUCCGCUAAUGGAUCUUAUGGUGGGUCGAACCCACCAUUCUCUUUUUCUGUUUAGACAAUGAUCAAAUUCCUAGAAUUAUAUGUGUACAUUUGUAUGAAUUUUAGCAUUCAGCGUGGUUUUAAAAAGCAAAACGGGGUUUCAGUAUCUGCGGGUUCGAUCGAGGUGGAUGCGGUGACGGGCGGAGCUGAAGGAGAACGGGUUCAGGAGCACGCGGAGGACGAAGCUGGUGUGCACGAUCGGACCAGCAGAUACUGUUUCACUUUUUUUUAAGUUAAUAAACCAAACACAUCUACCACACUUUUUACUAAUAUGCAUUCAUCGGGCGAUGAUCGGAGCUAAAAACGAUGUCGUUUAUGUAUGAUAUGUUUGUUUUGCAGUCGUUUCCGAGGGCCGUCUGGUUGGACGGAAGUGGGAGGCAGCUGAUCCAAUCGCCUGUGGAGGAGAUUUGAUGAUAAUUUAUUUUCAUCCAUCUGGAACAUGCAGGAGAGUAUCUUGCUUCUGGUGCUGUUGGUGGUGAGCUGAUAAUAUGGAAGCAGAACAAAAUACUGACUCUGGUCAAGUAUGGAAGGUCCUCAAGACACUAUCGUACGGCCUUUCGUUUCUAACAUAUAACAUAUAUGUUGAUAUUGAUAUGUAAGCAAUAUACUAUCAGAUAAGCACUA